rnacentral:rRNA from 1 species
CACAGAGUUAGCCGGUGCUUAUUCUGCGAGUAACGUCCACUCAUCUUAGGUAUUAACUAAGAGAGCCUCCUCCUCGCUUAAAGUGCUUUACAACCAAAAGGCCUUCUUCACACACGCGGCAUGGCUGGAUCAGGCUUGCGCCCAUUGUCCAAUAUUCCCCACUGCUGCCUCCCGUAGGAGUCUGGGCCGUGUCUCAGUCCCGGUGUGGCGGAUCAUCCUCUCAGACCCCGCUACAGAUCGUCGCCUUGGUAGGCCUUUACCCCACCAACUAGCUAAUCCGACUUAGGCUCAUCAUUUAGCGCAAGGUCCGAAGAUCCCCUGCUUUCUCCCGUAGGACGUAUGCGGUAUUAGCAUUCCUUUCGGAAUGUUGUCCCCCAUAAAUGGCAGAUUCCUAAGCAUUACUCACCCGUCCGCCGCUAGGUCAGUUACCGAAGCAACCUUCCCCGCUCGACUUGCAUGUGUUAAGCCUGCCGCCAGCGUUCAAUCUGAGCCAGGAUCAAA